rnacentral:rRNA from 1 species
UACGUAGGGUGCAAGCGUUGUCCGGAAUUAUUGGGCGUAAAGAGCUCGUAGGCGGUCUGUCGCGUCGGCUGUGAAAACUCGGGGCUCAACUCCGAGCCUGCAGUCGAUACGGGCAGACUAGAGUGCUGUAGGGGAGACUGGAAUUCCUGGUGUAGCGGUGAAAUGCGCAGAUAUCAGGAGGAACACCGGUGGCGAAGGCGGGUCUCUGGGCAGUAACUGACGCUGAGGAGCGAAAGCGUGGGGGGCGAACAGG